rnacentral:lncRNA from 1 species
UAUAUAUAUAUAUAUAUAUAUAUAUAUAUAUGACAAAAAAGGAAAACUAAUUGGUUAUGAACUACCAAUGGAUAGCAUUGACAAACCAAAAUAUAUGUGUUCCUUGUAACUCUAGCUUAUUCAUGAUCAAGCCCAAAAUAAUUGAACUAUAAUAAAUAAAACUCAGCAAUGGGCUACUGCUACACCAUAAAAAAUGGCCAAGCACCAUACAAAUC